CUUUGUUUACAGAUGUAGAUAUAGAUAUCACACACAAAAAAAAAAUCAAAAUAAAAUAAAGCCUCCAGUCUGACAGCAUCCUUUUGUGUUUCAUGCCACAUUGUCUGUAAUUGUAAUAAGAUGUUUUGGGAGCAUUUCACAUGUGCUUGUUUCAUAUCUGUGCUGUGUUCAGUGGCAUCAGCAGGUGGAGAGACAGACAUGGUGGAACCACAGGCAGAGGGUGAACCAGCUGCAGGGUUCAGUCCAGGAUCAAAUCUUUUGAUACCAGUAGGUGCUCCAUGUGAAAGUAAUCUUGAAUGAUGAAUGAAGGCCCAGGCAGAAGUCUGGAUUUUAAGAGCAGAAAUCUCCAGGCCGAAGUCUCGCUAUGUCCAGAAAGUCAUCCGUAUGGAACACCCUGAAGAGGCAAUGGACCAGCUAACAGAAGAGCUCCAAGCAGCCCUGGACAAUCUGAAGAGCCAGAUGGGGAAAAUACACCAGUGCGAGGAAGAAAUUGAGAGAUUAAGAGAGAAAAUGGACAGCCACCAAAAAUGUUUUUUAGUCAAACUGGCAUCAGUGCUCCUAAGAAUAAA